AAGUGAGGCGUCCUUGACGACCUGAGGCGGACGAUUCAGCGCAUUGCCUGCGCUACGAAAGCGUUGAGCUAUUUUGCGGGUUGCGGUAAACGUAGCAGUCUCAGCCGACUUGGAGGAUUCGGAGCCUUUUCAAGGGAGGAACGUGUUUCACAGGUCACUGUUCUUUGAGGAAACGUGACGAAUAGGACUGCGAGCUGGCUGGGGCGCACUGCUCCAAGGUUGCACGUACAAGGGGCGCGCUUCCUUCCUGGUUACCAGGGUGUGUGGUUUCGCGAAGCAGGUGUUUGCGAAGUGUUCUCCUCUGGGGCCGGGCGACUUGGACGCGCUCUCUCCGGAAACUGAUCGCGCAAGGCACGCAACUCUUGGAGCCCAAUAGGUCGCCAAGGGGCUCGGAAAGCGCGAAGCACGUCUUCCUUUGCGUAGACCUCGCCUUGGCUUGCUGGAACGGACUUGCUGGUCCAACGUCUAACCACACGACUCAGAGUUGCACGCGUAUAGUGCAGUUAUGGCGAAGAAGCGAAAGGCUUCCUCCUCUGUGAACUCAAAACGAGCCGGAGGACCAGCUGAGGCACAACGCUUGGUCAUCUACUACCCCACCGGGUAUCUUUCGUUCCCGUAUGAGUUGCACCAAGUGGUCCGCAGGGCACUCUGUGAGUUCGCUCUGCGGCGGACCCCUGUUAUCGAGACACGAGGAGGCAAACGGGUGCUCGAAACGACGCGAGGCGGUAUUCUUGAUCGUCUGUACCCAUGCGAUCAGUGGCAAAGUCGGCGUAUCUACUUUUGCGGUAGAGCCUGGCUGGAGAAGGCCGGCAUUGACUGGGUCCAACAAGUUCGCGACCUCGGUGGCAGCGUUCUUCUCCACUUGAGCAAUCCGUCUUUUGCAGUCUUUUCGCAGUGAGACUGCAAUGUGUGCCAGGAUACCGAUAGUCCGCUGCCGAUCUGGCAGCUGUUGGCCAUAGUACACGCGCCGGGAUCUCCGCAAAUCGCGACGCAGCUUGCGAUAAGAAUAACUGAAAACAAGUCCAUGUCUUCUCGUCGUAAGUGGUGAACGUUUGACGCAAAGAAGCGAACCGGAAAUUCCAUGCGGAUCCGGGUCCCAGUAUGUGCGCUUUCCCGCAGGAGAUCUUCAUCCCGUUGGUUUGGGGAACAGCUUGAGGUUCUGUGUGGAAGCAGGUUGCUGCGGGCGACCACAGCGCAUCCAUCCCGAUAAGCACGGGUCAGGAAUGAAUGCGGUGGCUGUCAAGCAGAUUUAAUACCGGAAAGGCGCUCUAGCUAGAUGUUUUUUUUGACUGGAGCAUGCGAGUGAAGAGCACGUCUCGAGUUUCUGUAGUAACCGCGGCGCUUCGAUCUGUUGUUGCCUACCAAUACGGGAAAGCUAAGACUGCUCGGCGUGGGAACACAGCACGGCACGGCGUUCUGUGCAAUGCCAAAGACGACAGCCGCUGCGAAGCGGACUCGAAUCGGAUCACCCGCUUCCCAACAGGAUAUCUUCUCUGCCUGCUUCUGUGACUGAUGCUGCCUCAAGAGGUCACCAAUCGAACUAGUUGACUCUUAAACAGAUAC
rnacentral:misc_RNA from 1 species